rnacentral:rRNA from 1 species
AUGAACGCUGGCGGCAUGCCUAACACAUGCAAGUCGAACGAAGGCUUCGGCCUUAGUGGCGCACGGGUGCGUAACGCGUGGGAAUCUGCCCUCAGGUUCGGAAUAACAGCGAGAAAUUGCUGCUAAUACCGGAUGAUAUCGCGAGAUCAAAGAUUUAUCGCCUGAGGAUGAGCCCGCGUAGGAUUAGCUAGUUGGUGUGGUAAAGGCGCACCAAGGCGACGAUCCUUAGCUGGUCUGAGAGGAUGAUCAGCCACACUGGGACUGAGACACGGCCCAGACUCCUACGGGAGGCAGCAGUGGGGAAUAUUGGACAAUGGGCGAAAGCCUGAUCCAGCAAUGCCGCGUGAGUGAUGAAGGCCUUAGGGUUGUAAAGCUCUUUUACCCGGGAUGAUAAUGACAGUACCGGGAGAAUAAGCUCCGGCUAACUCCGUGCCAGCAGCCGCGGUAAUACGGAGGGAGCUAGCGUUAUUCGGAAUUACUGGGCGUAAAGCGCACGUAGGCGGCUUUGUAAGUUAGAGGUGAAAGCCUGGAGCUCAACUCCAGAAUUGCCUUUAAGACUGCAUCGCUUGA